GCACGUAUGUUAUUUCCUACGUGCGAACAAAUGAUUCUUAUUAUUUCGCUUAUCGCACUGUCCCACCACUUGCCCCAUCCACAUUGGUAUCAUUAUUCUUCAGAAAUCAAUUGUUUACUGCGAUAUAUGUCAAAGUUUCCGCCAAUUUUCCGCUGCACUGAGAUCAACAAUUAUUGUUGCCCAAUAUCCAUUCACUCGAGUUAAUUAGCGUAGGAGAAGGAAAGUCUUUUCCCAAAAAUUGUUCGCUAAUGGAGGAUAAACGGAAUUUUUUUUCUUGGAAUCCCUCUACUUCAGAGGUAUUUAUUUUUCUCUUCACGAAAAUCAAUCGAAUUAUCACCAUCUGCCUCUUCGCUGACAAAUUGAAUUAGGUAGACAUUUCAAUUCAAUAAAAUGCCAGUAUUGAGAGAAAAUUUCCAAGUGUUUAUGAUACUUUAUUAGAGAGACAAAUUAGGUUAUACUUUAACUCUUCUAUCAGCAUUUAAUUUCUGAGAAUUUUUUUCUACGAGUCCCUCAAUUUUGGAGAUAAUGCAUUUAACGUUAACUUAACGAAAAAAUGGGCCUGAAGAGAGGAAAAUAAGGAUUUGUUUUUUCGUCCAUUGGCCCGGGGCUGGCCUCUAUGCCUUCAUGACUGUUGCAGUAAAAUUUUUCUCGAAAAUUUAUGCACGUGCAAGCAAUUUUUCUCAUGCAUCAGCAAUUCAUGAAAGAAUUUCAACGAAUCGGCAUUGGACUCAUCUAUUUGACGUUGUCAAAUAUAAACAGAGGGAAGCACAUGAUUCAAUGUGUCAAUGAAGUGGAUUAUCGAGUGUUAUCAAUUGAAGAAGAAGCCUCAGAGAUAAUUUACGGUCAACACUUGGACUCAGUUAGGGAGUAGUGCGUCAAUAAAGCUUCAAAAAGGGUUCAUGAACCUGAUAUAAAUGAAGGUCUCUACAUUUUUGAAGAAAUUACUCUAAAAAUUCCUCGACAACAUUUAUCAAUAUUUCAGAGAAUUCUAAAACAAGAAAUUCACUAUUUUCCAAAGAAAUAAAUGGAAGCGAACAUUUUCUGUUCAAUUAUUCCAUGAAGAUUCAGAAACGAAUUCAUCAACUUUAGCACUUAGAGCAAUUCUGCAAGUGCACUCAGUAGUGAUAACUCAAGAGCUUCGGGAUUCUUCGAACGACUUCGGAUAUCCAACCAAUGAGAUGCUCAUCACGUCCAUCAUAAAUCUACACCGAAAAUCUUCAAUUUCCCGGAUGGUUCAUCGAAAGAACUCAUAUUUUGAAAAGUAACUGCAGUAACUCUUAACUUCGGAUGGUCUGUGUAUAUUUAGAUACUUUCAAUCCCUAAAUUAAUUACCUUCCAAAACAAACUCUUUUCACCUGAAGCUGAAUUAUUUUUCAAAUAAACUAUUUAAAUAAAUUUGAUUAAUAGAUGUAAUGAUGAUAGUUUUAAGAUAAAU